rnacentral:rRNA from 1 species
UACGUAGGGUGCGAGCGUUAAUCGGAAUUACUGGGCGUAAAGCGUGCGCAGGCGGUUUUGUAAGACAGGCGUGAAAUCCCCGGGCUUAACCUGGGAACUGCGUUUGUGACUGCAAGGCUAGAGUACGGCAGAGGGGGGUGGAAUUCCACGUGUAGCAGUGAAAUGCGUAGAGAUGUGGAGGAACACCGAUGGCGAAGGCAGCCCCCUGGGCUAACUCUGACGCUCAUGCACGAAAGCGUGGGGAGCAAACAGG